UGUGUCCUACGGGGCGCAGCAGUGAGGAAUAUUGGUCAAUGGGCGCGAGCCUGAACCAGCCAAGUCGCGUGAGGGAAGACGGUCCUAUGAAUUGUAAACCUCUUUUGUCGGGGAGCAAGAGACGCCACGCGUGGCGUUCCGAGAGUACCCGAAGAAAAAGCAUCGGCUAACUCCGUGCCAGCAGCCGCGGUAAUACGGAGGAUGCGAGCGUUAUCCGGAUUUAUUGGGUUUAAAGGGUGCGCAGGCGGAAGAUCAAGUCAGCGGUAAAAUUGAGAGGCUCAACCUCUUCGAGCCGUUGAAACUGG
rnacentral:rRNA from 1 species